UACAGAGGUCUCAAGCGUUGUUCGGAUUCAUUGGGCGUAAAGGGUGCGUAGGUGGCGCCGUAAGUCAGGUGUGAAAUCUCGGGGCUCAACCCCGAAACUGCACUUGAUACUGCGGUGCUCGAGUACUGGAGAGGAGAUUGGAAUUUACGGUGUAGCAGUGAAAUGCGUAGAUAUCGUAAGGAAGACCAGUGGCGAAGGCGGGUCUCUGGACAGUUCCUGACGCUGAGGCACGAAGGUCAGGGGAGCAAACGGG
rnacentral:rRNA from 1 species